UCCAACUUCAUGUAAGCAGCACUCCCCAAC
rnacentral:piRNA from 1 species